UACGUAGGGGGCAAGCGUUGUCCGGAAUCAUUGGGCGUAAAGAGCGUGUAGGCGGCCAGAAAAGUCCGCUGUGAAAACUCGAGGCUCAACUUCGAGCUGUCGGUGGAAACUUUCUGGCUAGAGUCCGGAAGAGGAGAAUGGAAUUCCUGGUGUAGCGGUGAAAUGCGCAGAUAUCAGGAGGAACACCGGUGGCGAAGGCGGGUCUCUGGGCAAUAACUGACGCUGGAGGAGCGAAAGCGUGGGGAGCGAACAGG
rnacentral:rRNA from 1 species